rnacentral:rRNA from 1 species
GAUGAACGCUGGCGGCGUGCCUAAUACAUGCAAGUCGAGCGAACAGACGAGGAGCUUGCUCCUCUGACGUUAGCGGCGGACGGGUGAGUAACACGUGGAUAACCUACCUAUAAGACUGGGAUAACUUCGGGAAACCGGAGCUAAUACCGGAUAAUAUAUUGAACCGCAUGGUUCAAUAGUGAAAGACGGUUUUGCUGUCACUUAUAGAUGGAUCCGCGCCGCAUUAGCUAGUUGGUAAGGUAACGGCUUACCAAGGCAACGAUGCGUAGCCGACCUGAGAGGGUGAUCGGCCACACUGGAACUGAGCCACGGUCCAGACUCCUACGGGAGGCAGCAGUAGGGAAUCUUCCGCAAUGGGCGAAAGCCUGACGGAGCAACGCCGCGUGAGUGAUGAAGGUCUUCGGAUCGUAAAACUCUGUUAUUAGGGAAGAACAAAUGUGUAAGUAACUAUGCACGUCUUGACGGUACCUAAUCAGAAAGCCACGGCUAACUACGUG